rnacentral:rRNA from 1 species
UACGGAGGGGGCUAGCGUUGUUCGGAAUUACUGGGCGUAAAGCGCACGUAGGCGGCUUUGCAAGUUAGAGGUGAAAAGCCCCGGGGCUCAACUCCGGAAUUGCCUUUAAAACUGCAUCGCUAGAAUUGUGGAGAGGUAAGUGGAAUUCCGAGUGUAGAGGUGAAAUUCGUAGAUAUUCGGAAGAACACCAGUGGCGAAGGCGGCUUUCUGGACGGUAACUGACGCUGAGACGCGGAAGCGUGGGGAGCAAACAGG